rnacentral:rRNA from 1 species
UACAGAGGUCCCAAGCGUUGUUCGGAUUCACUGGGCGUAAAGGGUGCGCAGGUGGGUUUGCAAGUUCGAUGUGAAAGCCCCGGGCUUAACCCGGGAAUGGCAUUGGAUACUGCAGAUCUGGAGGAUCGGAGGGGGGACUGGAAUUCUUGGUGUAGCAGUGAAAUGCGUAGAUAUCAAGAGGAACACCAGUGGCGAAGGCGAGUCCCUGGGUUAACACUGACGCUCAUGCACGAAAGCGUGGGGAGCAAACAGG